rnacentral:rRNA from 1 species
GAUGAACGCUGGCGGCGUGCCUAAUACAUGCAAGUCGAGCGAACAGAUAAGGAGCUUGCUCCUUUGACGUUAGCGGCGGACGGGUGAGUAACACGUGGGUAACCUACCUAUAAGACUGGAAUAACUCCGGGAAACCGGGGCUAAUGCCGGAUAACAUUUAGAACCGCAUGGUUCUAAAGUGAAAGAUGGUUUUGCUAUCACUUAUAGAUGGACCCGCGCCGUAUUAGCUAGUUGGUAAGGUAACGGCUUACCAAGGCAACGAUACGUAGCCGACCUGAGAGGGUGAUCGGCCACACUGGAACUGAGACACGGUCCAGACUCCUACGGGAGGCAGCAGUAGGGAAUCUUCCGCAAUGGGCGAAAGCCUGACGGAGCAACGCCGCGUGAGUGAUGAAGGUCUUCGGAUCGUAAAACUCUGUUAUUAGGGAAGAACAAAUGUGUGAGUAACUGUGCACGUCUUGACGGUACCUAAUCAGAAAGCCACGGCUAACUACGUG